rnacentral:rRNA from 1 species
GAUGAACGCUGGCGGCGUGCCUAAUACAUGCAAGUCGAGCGAACGGACGAGAAGCUUGCUUCUCUGAUGUUAGCGGCGGACGGGUGAGUAACACGUGGAUAACCUACCUAUAAGACUGGGAUAACUUCGGGAAACCGGAGCUGAUACCGGAUGAUAUUUUGAACCGCAUGGUUCAAAAGUGAAAGACGGUCUUGCUGUCACUUAUAGAUGGAUCCGCGCUGCAUUAGCUAGUUGGUAAGGUAACGGCUUACCAAGGCAACGAUGCAUAGCCGACCUGAGAGGGUGAUCGGCCACACUGGAACUGAGACACGGUCCAGACUCCUACGGGAGGCAGCAGUAGGGAAUCUUCCGCAAUGGGCGAAAGCCUGACGGAGCAACGCCGCGUGAGUGAUGAAGGUCUUCGGAUCGUAAAACUCUGUUAUUAGGGAAGAACAUAUGUGUAAGUAACUGUGCACAUCUUGACGGUACCUAAUCAGAAAGCCACGGCUAACUACGUG